rnacentral:rRNA from 1 species
AUUGAACGCUGGCGGCAGGCUUAACACAUGCAAGUCGAGCGGAGAGAAGUAGCUUGCUACUGAUCUUAGCGGCGGAAGGGUGAGUAAUGCUUAGGAAUCUGCCUAUUAGUGGGGGACAACAUUUCGAAAGGAAUGCUAAUACCGCAUACGUCCUACGGGAGAAAGCAGGGGAUCUUCGGACCUUGCGCUAAUAGAUGAGCCUAAGUCGGAUUGGCUAGUUGGUGGGGUAAAGGCCUACCAAGGCGACGAUCUGUAGCGGGUCUGAGAGGAUGAUCCGCCACACUGGGACUGAGACACGGCCCAGACUCCUACGGGAGGCAGCAGUGGGGAAUAUUGGACAAUGGGGGGAACCCUGAUCCAGCCAUGCCGCGUGUGUGAAGAAGGCCUUUUGGUUGUAAAGCACUUUAAGCGAGGAGGAGGCUACUGGUAUUAAUACUACCGGAUAGUGGACGUUACUCGCAGAAUAAGCACCGGCUAACUCUGUGCCAGCCGCCGCAGUAAGAC